rnacentral:rRNA from 1 species
AAAUAUCAUCCGCCAGGGACUCCAAGCGUCACGUUAAAACCCAAAGGACUUGGCGGUGCCCACACCCACCUAGAGGAGCCUGUUCUAGAACCGAUAACCCCCGUUAAACCUCACCACCCCUUGUCAACCCCGCCUAUAUACCACCGUCGCCAGCUUACCCUGUGAAGGACCAAUAGUAAGCCUAAUGAGCACAGCUCAAAACGUCAGGUCGAGGUGUAGCGAAUGGGGUGGGAAGAAAUGGGCUACAUUUUCUGAAACCAGAAUACUACGGAUGACAUAGUGAAACCAAUGCCUGAAGGUGGAUUUAGCAGUAAAAAGGGAA